rnacentral:rRNA from 1 species
GAUGAACGCUGGCGGCGUGCCUAAUACAUGCAAGUCGAGCGAACGGACGAGAAGCUUGCUUCUCUGAUGUUAGCGGCGGACGGGUGAGUAACACGUGGAUAACCUACCUAUAAGACUGGGAUAACUUCGGGAAACCGGAGCUAAUACCGGAUAAUAUUUUGAACCGCAUGGUUCAACAGUGAAAGACGGUCUUGCUGUCACUUAUAGAUGGAUCCGCGCUGCAUUAGCUAGUUGGUAAGGUAACGGCUUACCAAGGCAACGAUGCCUAGCCGACCUGAGAGGGUGAUCGGCCACACUGGAACUGAGACGCGGUCCAGACUCCUACGGGAGGCAGCAGUAGGGAAUCUUCCGCAAUGGGCGAAAGCCUGACGGAGCAACGCCGCGUGAGUGAUAAAGGUCUUCGGAUCGUAAAACUCUGUUAUUAGGGAAGAACAUAUGUGUAAGUAACUGUACACAUCUUGACGGUACCUAAUCAGAAAGCCACGGCUAACUACGUG